AGAAUCAACGCUGGCGGCGUGCCUAACACAUGCAAGUCGAACGAGAAAGUGGGAGCAAUCCCAUGAGUAAAGUGGCGCACGGGUGAGUAACACGUGACUAACCUACCCUUGAGUGGGGAUAACCUAGGGAAACCUGGGCUAAUACCGCAUAAUACCUACGGGUCAAAGGAGCAAUUCGCUUUAGGAGGGGUCGCGGCAGAUUAGUUAGUUGGCGGGGUAAUGGCCCACCAAGACAGUGAUCUGUA
rnacentral:rRNA from 1 species